AUGAACGCUAGCGACAGGCCUAACACAUGCAAGUCGAGGGGCAGCACAAGGAGCAAUCUGAGGUGGCGACCGGCGGCACGGGUGAGUAACACGUAUGCAACCUGCCUGUAAGCGGGGAAUAACCCGUUGAAAGACGGACUAAUACCGCAUAAUACUAAAUUACUGCAUGGUAAUUUAUUUAAACAUUUAUGGCUUACAGAUGGGCAUGCGCAUGAUUAGCUAGUUGGAGAGGUAACGGCUCCCCAAGGCAACGAUCAUUAGGGGUUCUGAGAGGAAGGUCCCCCACACUGGUACUGAGACGCGGACCAGACUCCUACGGGAGGCAGCAGUGAGGAAUAUUGGUCAAUGGACGAGAGUCUGAACCAGCCAAGUCGCGUGCAGGAAGAAUGUCCUAUGGAUUGUAAACUGCUUUUGCAGGGGAAUAAAGUGCAUCACGUGUGAUGUUUUGUAUGUACUCUGCGAAUAAGGAUCGGCUAACUCCGUGCCAGCAGCUGC
rnacentral:rRNA from 1 species